rnacentral:ribozyme from 1 species
GUUCGAUAGAGUUCUGUAAAAGGGUUGGAUCCGACGCCUCUAGAAGGCUACUAUAGGCUCUCCUUCUCAACUCCUACUCAA